rnacentral:rRNA from 1 species
ACACUCCUACGGGAGGCAGCAGUGGGGAAUAUUGGACAAUGGGCGCAAGCCUGAUCCAGCCAUGCCGCGUGAGUGAUGAAGGCCCUAGGGUUGUAAAGCUCUUUCACCGGAGAAGAUAAUGACGGUAUCCGGAGAAGAAGCCCCGGCUAACUUCGUGCCAGCAGCCGCGGUAAUACGAAGGGGGCUAGCGUUGUUCGGAAUUACUGGGCGUAAAGCGCACGUAGGCGGAUCGAUCAGUCAGGGGUGAAAUCCCAGGGCUCAACCCUGGAACUGCCUUUGAUACUGUCGAUCUGGAGUAUGGAAGAGGUGAGUGGAAUUCCGAGUGUAGAGGUGAAAUUCGUAGAUAUUCGGAGGAACACCAGUGGCGAAGGCGGCUCACUGGUCCAUUACUGACGCUGAGGUGCGAAAGCGUGGGGAGCAAACAGGAUUAGAUACCCGAGUAGUCCCAUGA